rnacentral:rRNA from 1 species
GACGAACGCUGGCGGCGUGCCUAAUACAUGCAAGUCGAACGCUUCUUUCCUCCCGAGUGCUUGCACUCAAUUGGAAAGAGGAGUGGCGGACGGGUGAGUAACACGUGGGUAACCUACCCAUCAGAGGGGGAUAACACUUGGAAACAGGUGCUAAUACCGCAUAACAGUUUAUGCCGCAUGGCAUAAGAGUGAAAGGCGCUUUCGGGUGUCGCUGAUGGAUGGACCCGCGGUGCAUUAGCUAGUUGGUGAGGUAACGGCUCACCAAGGCCACGAUGCAUAGCCGCCCUGAGAGGGUGAUCGGCCACACUGGAACUGAGCCACGGCCCAGCCUCCUACGGGAGGCAGCAGUAGGGAAUCUUCGGCAAUGGACGAAAGUCUGACCGAGCAACGCCGCGUGAGUGAAGAAGGUUUUCGGAUCGUAAAACUCUGUUGUUAGGGAAGAACAAGGACGUUAGUAACUGAACGUCCCCUGACGGUAUCUAACCAGAAAGCCACGGCUAACUACGUG